AUUGAACGCUGGCGGCAGGCCUAACACAUGCAAGUCGAACGGUAACAGGGUGCUUGCACCGCUGACGAGUGGCGAACGGGUGAGUAAUGCGUCGGAACGUGCCGAGUAGUGGGGGAUAACGCAGCGAAAGUUGUGCUAAUACCGCAUACGUACUGAGGUAGAAAGUGGGGGACCUUCGGGCCUCACGCUAUUCGAGCGGCCGACGUCUGAUUAGCUAGUAGGUGAGGUAAAGGCUCACCUAGGCGACGAUCAGUAGCGGGUCUGAGAGGAUGAUCCGCCAUACUGGGACUGAGACACGGCCCAGACUCCUACGGGAGGCAGCAGUGGGGAAUUUUGGACAAUGGGCGAAAGCCUGAUCCAGCCAUGCCGCGUGUCUGAAGAAGGCCUUCGGGUUGUAAAGGACUUUUGUCAGGGAGGAAAUCCCUAGUGCUAAUAACACUGGGGGAUGACAGUACCUGAAGAAUAAGCACCGGCUAACUACGUGCCAGCCGCCGCAGUAA
rnacentral:rRNA from 1 species